AUAUUUCAGGUUAUAGAUGCGUGUGCUAAAGGGAAUUUGGGUCGUUUCAUUAACCAUAGCUGUGAUCCUAAUUGCCGUACAGAAAAGUGGAUGGUCAAUGGAGAGGUUUGCAUUGGACUCUUUGCUCUAAGGGAUAUCAAGAAGGUAAAGUGUCUCGUUCUGAUUGUGAUUUUGCUUCAAAUGUUUUACAAUUUACAGGAUGGUUGUCGCUUUUUCCUAGUUAGUGAAGUAGAAAAAUGGAUUCCUCUCAUGUCUUACUUGACAUUCCAGUUAUAUGUAAGGGAACAAAUACAUAAGGAGUAGUUCUGAGAUCUUUAACACCUACGCUGGGGAAUUUGCAUUAUGGUCCACGUGGUUGUUAUUGGCGUGUUGUUACAAUCACCAUAACAUUCCAUUAUCACAUUUAGCAAGUGCUUUGGAGAUUGUUUAUAUACUUCUUAUUUUUGUAGGUUGUCAGUGAAUACAUGCAUACUGCUUGCAGAGAGAAGUUACUCUUCCAAAAAAGUACAAUCAGCCAAAAGAGACAUUGUUAUGAAUUAAGAUUUGCCACUAAAAGGGCAAUUCAUGGUAGAAUUGUUGGUAGAAUCUGGGUCUAAUUUUAGAUGGGUCAUUUAGUUGUUCUGGCCUUUGGGCCUUGAUUAUAGAGAUGUGUUUGGGUUGUAUUCCCUAUUACUUUGUUCUUGUUAAAAAGGAAUUUCAUGUGGAAAUAUUUAAGAUUAUGUUCA